CAGCGUGGUUGUUAAUGGCGCGUAGCAGAGCCGGUGUGCCGGGGCGGCAGUGCUGCUCCUCGGAUGUGGCGCUGGCAAGGGGGAUCCCGGGGAGCCUGGCUCCUUCUGUGCCCUGGGGAGUGCCUGUGCAGGGUAGCAUGGAGGCUGCUGUUGCCUUCCACAUUUUUGGGAGGAGGCAGCAGGCGUUUACCCUCUCACCCAGCACGUGGGUUUUAUUAUUCCUUUUUUUCCAGUAGAAUACAGUUUGGGUUCCUCUGUGCUGCGAGCCUCAGCCUGCAAGCAGCAACCCACUGCGGAGCAGACCCCGAGGGCGAGCAACAGUUGCCAGAACAAACGCGAUUGUCAGUGGUCUUGGGGGGCUGCAAGUGCUCUCUGUGGGAGCUGUUUGAUGUCGCUGACCCCACACUGAAUCAGGACGGGAAGGAGGAAACUGCGUUCAGCACUACCUGUAUAAGUACAUCUGCUAACAACCUGUGCCUGGAGGAAAAUUAAGCUGUGAACUGGAAUUCCAUCAGGCUGUCUACUGUGAAGCCCUGUGGCUUUAGCAAAGGGGCAGCAGUGGUCAGAAAUGACACUCAAAAGCAAAUAACAUGUAAUUCAUAGCAGACUUCCAGCUCCUGUCAAAGAGAGAAGAUGCUUUUGCUUCACGCAACCUUUACAUCUAAGGAAAGUUAAAGCCGUAACUGUCAACUCAAGCAGCAGCGCUCUGAUGCCUUCUCAGAAUUACGGUGUUCUGUGCACCUACUACACACGAUCGGGGAGCGGGGGGAGUCCACUGCAGACUCCACUCGUGUAAGCUGUCUCCAGCUGUCACUAGAGAUACUGAAAAGCAAGUCACCAUCACAGAUGUCCGGGAACUGUCAAAAUAUGAAGAAACAAAUAAGGCACCCCACAGGAGUCAUUAGUCCAUCACUGACCUCAUGUUCUUUUGACAAGGCUUGCUGAUUCAAGCCUAGAAUUGUUAGCCUAGAUGCUGCUCCUCACGCCUACACACACGCAGAAGCAUGAUGGUGCCUCAAGUUCAGAAAGCCCAACAAUGUCAGGAGGCUGGAACCCAGACCAAACCAUCACCUCCCCAGCAGCGUCCCUGUUGUGCAAUGGUAGCUCAUUGCAGCACCAGCAUACUUUUGGUCCGCCAAUACCAACCCACAUCUCCUCAGGCCCUGCUGUCCUGACAACCUCGUGUCUUCCUCCCUACUUGGUCAUCUACGCUGGCUUGGUACUUUAGCCCCACUUCUUGCCUGCUCUGUGUCAGGGGCACUUGCACAACAUCUGCUCCGAGACGCCUUGCGAGGAAAUGCCCUGCAAAUCGCCGUGUGGUUUCCAGAACGAAUUCCCCAGUGACACCCUCAUUAAGAGUUCUUGCUACCAAAUGUUGUUUGCUUUUACUUUCAGAACUGCCUGCACUAAUAACGAGUACCUCCACUUGGAAAUUAUUUACAUGAGGUAUUGUGCUCGUGUCAUUGCCACAGAUGGCAGCUCCAGGCUGGGUGAGAGGGAGACGCUGCAACGAAGUCACGGAGCAGCUCCUCUGCUGCGAACGCUGGGGCAGCCCGCCGGCAGCGCACCCCUGCCCCGGGGUGAGCCUGCGUGGCAGAGGGAUUACGGCAGUUUCUCAGCAGCACUACUGCUUCCUCCCCAUAAUCCAGGCACGUUAGGGGCUGAAGUCUUCAGGACAAACUAAGUGCAAAUAGAUGUUAUCGAUGUACUUGUGUCCAGGGGGAGACCUAACAGGUUUGUCAUCUUUGAGGAGGUACAUCUCUCUGGAUUGUAUGCAGGGAGGCACGUGGGAGGGCACGAUGACACUGGACAAGACCAAUAUCAAGACCAGCAAAAGCAAAUGCUAGCCAACAGUUCUGUCUGCAGGAUGCUUCUUCAGUGAGCUGCAGAUUGCCAUGCCCUCCUGGCUGCCCUGCCUGAGACAAUAAGAGCUUGAGUACUUCACAGCAAAAAUGUCCUGGGAAAAGCAGAACUAUUUCGUGUGAUAAAGGCUGGCUGCACAGUUCGGGAAGAUGAGCUUGUCAGAGAUGCUGCUGCACUCAGGCUGAACCUGUGGGAAGUGUGCCUGUUCCUAAUAAAUGUUGUGUGUAUUUAUGUGACAGUCAUUGUGCUUUGCAAGGAGGGAGUCACAGAAAUAAUUAGUUAAGAGCGUGAGGUUUUUGGCACAGAUUCCCUUUCUCAAGUAGCUGUGAUGUUCAUAUAUAAGAAAAAUUGAUUUGGCAUCUAGACAGGAUUUCAGCACGCUCAUGGUUAUGGAAAUCAGCUAUGGGCAUGGAGGAAAUCUGUAUAUUGAUUCAUAAACUGACUUGAUGACUUGUUCAUGCUUUAAUAUUUUCAUGGGCUUUUACCCAAAAUAAAAAUGUCAGUAGGUACCACUUGACUGUGCUACAGCACCAUCUAAAAUGGUUGGAAGAAUGCAGGGAAGAAAAGGGAUUUCCUAUUAGACAGAAGCCUUUACUGUCUGUGCUAAUUAUUUUUUUCCUUAAAGAAGAGGCUUUUUGUCAUUGCCCUUGCUUACUGCAUCAAAAUGUGCACAUAUAUAACACCCAGAGAAAAAAGGUUUCCUAUGAAAGACGUCCAGUUUCACGGUCACUCUUUCUUUUUCAAGACUUCAGGAAAGCUAGUCCUCCUUUUACUCACACAAUCAUGUACCAAUACUGCUAGAACUGCCAUGACUCUGUGUGUGUAAUAGUAUGAGAAUAGAUUUACUUUGGUAUCACGUAGGAGGGCAAAAGCUGACUUUUUUUUUUUUUUUGGUCAGCCUGGUUAGGGGGUGUUUAGUCAGAAUCAGCACCAAUCCAUGACUGCCUUGCAAAAAACACCUACAAUACACUGACUCCUCAUGAACAUGUUUCUCUGCAGGUUUAAAAUCUUAAUUCCUGAAUAAUACCUUCACCUACCUCGUGAAUUUCUUUGAGACCUUCCAGUGCUGACCAGUCUUGAUCCUAUUCGACUUAGGGUAUGUGGGCUCAAAAUGGAGGCAGUAUGGCUGCUGGCCAUUAUUAAAAUGAAUGGAAAAUAUGUCAUGUAUAAUUUAAUCUAAGAUCCAGUGUGAUAACAAUACGUGCCCAAAUACUGAUCUUAUUUGCAACAGAAUGCUUCAGCUGUGACUUCAGAAGAAAUCAAUGGGUGUAAUGUAAGAUGAGUCACAACGCAUACACUGUGCCAUAGCAGAGCAGAAUUUUCUCCAUAAAUAAUGUCUCUUUUGGCAAGACACAGGGAAAAAAGCCUGAAAAUCUAUAUUAUAUUGAACUGCACAGUUCAGGAAAGAGGCCUUAUACAUAACAGUACAUUUUUGAACAUGUAGGUUGUUCCUUGUGGACUAAAUCUUCCCUUAAGACAGUUUGUUACUAAUUUUCACAAAAUUUCUGGAAGUCUUUUCAAUGAUUGGGGUGUAGAAUUAAAAGAUCUCUGAGGCCUUGAUUGAAAGUGAUGCGUUUGGACACCACCUUACAUACUGAAAGCAUGCAGAGAAACCAGGGAGAUGUCUCAUGAUGUCUCAAGGUGCACUCUUAGAAACAUGGAGAAAUUCUCAUAUCCUCAGGAAGAGACAAGAAGGCCAUUUUGUCAUUUGGUGGUUGGCUUCUUGCUGCUUAUUAAAGUCUGCCAGACUUGUGGCUAACGAGUGAUUUAAAUGUAGCUUGAAGGAAACUUUUGUUUCCUUCAACUGCUAUUUUAAGAAAGAUCCCUUAAAAUUAAUUGACUGACAAACUGUAUAAUUGAUGCUAUCUACGCAGCAUGCACCAGCCAAAACUGCUGGGUAGUGAGAGCAUUGGCAUCUUGGUAGAUGCUGUGCUAAACCCUUCUGAGAACCUCUGCUUGCCCUCUCUGUAUGCUCUUGUGUAGGAGAGGGCAUGUUUGGUUUUCUGCUUACUCUAUUCCCUUUUGUACUUGUUCAUUUGCUAGGUGCAUAAAGGAGAGGAGGUCACUUGCGCACAUGGGAUAAAGAGGUAUUAUGAAUUCUAAAGUGUUUGCUUUAUUGGGAAAAGCACAGCAAGCAGGAGAGCUCAGGAACAUAAUGUGUGAAUUUUUAAUGAAUGCUGUGCCAAGUGUUUGUGCAUUUUUUUUUUUCUACCUGUAGCAGCUUUAUUCAUUUGGGAGAGUACUGCGUACAAGAUAUUCUUUAGUAGUAUGCUGGCUGCUGUUUAGUUUUAAUAAAUUAAAUCCUUUAUAUCAAUGUAAUAUUCUUUAGACAAGCACUUCCAAGACAGAUUAGAAAUGAAUUUAAGGGGAUUAAAAGCUUCUCUUGCUAAAAACAAUGUUUCAGAUGGGAAAUCCACUUAUUUAUGUCACUUUCAGUGGACUACAUUUGUCUUUAAUAUGUUGCUACUCCUAAAGAAAGCAGUGCUUUGCCCAUGACUUUAGCCUUUCUGCUCUGCUUUACAUACAUAGCAAUGUUUAUUUUCUUCACUACAGUAAGUCACUUUGGGAAAGAUUGAUGGCUUCCCAUAAAACUGUGAGCAACCAUUUUCUUUCUGAUUUAGAGAAAACAAAAGAUUUAAUGGAUCUGGCAUUUUAAAUAGCGUCAGUCUCUUUGUAAAAUAGGAAACUGUACAAAUGGAAGGUUUGAGCAGAGAGAAAAAUCUGCUUUGAUUUUCCCUUUGCUGAAUUGUAGCAGGCUGAAAACCUCAAUUGGAAGGUUCUUGUUAGCUGUGAAAUCCUGGACAUCUUGGGAGCAGCCUGGUUUAGCUGGUGUUAACUCAGAUCUGUGCAGCAGAUUGAGAGGCAGGCACUAGUUCCCGAGCUGUUUCCUCUAACUUGUACCAGGUUAUCUGUUUCUAUAUUAAAUGCUUGUCCUAGUACAUGGUUCAAUGGUACGUCAGUUCCAGUGAUGGGACCUCUGAUACCAAGCCAAAAUCUCCUGAACACACCAUGCAGAAACCUGAUUUGGUAUACCACCACUCUGCAGGUAUAAAAAUUGUCGUUGGGCAGUCUGUAUGUGAGACCAGAUGCUGUCUGUCCAUGCUGCACUAACUGGCUGCUGCCCCAUCAGUAGACAUCCAGCCAACACAAACUGAGUGCUUUGGUCAACCCAGCAAAGCCACAGCCAUACUGCUCUGCUCUCCACAGCCUCUUCACGUUUGUCCUGCUGGGCAUCUGGUCGUGCGCGGAUGGCUAUCAACAUUAACAGGACACCUUUCAGGCUCUGGUAGGGGCUUCUCAUCAAUCACCAAGUCACACGAUACUGACCUGGAAAUGGCUGGCUGCCCCCUGAUGCUCUCACACUGUGAGAUUUCAACAAGGCAGGAUCCACCCCUAUGGAAUAAAUGAAGAGGAUCUUGUGGGGGAUGAACAACAAGAAGGUUGAAUAUUCUGAGUAUUCAGACAAUUUUAAGACCAUGUUUCAGCCCCAUAAGAGACAAUCCAUCACACUAACUUUACUAUCAUCCGUGUUUGUCAGUCUGAACUUUCAGUUCAUCUCCUGGACUACAAAAAAUGCAGUUUUGGAGUCUACUCCCCACAGCUGUUGAAUGGGGUUAGAGAAGGUACCCCUGAAAAGGUGAAAGAAGGAAGACCUCCUCUCGAGGCUCCUCACAAAGCAUCUGGGACAAGAAUGAGACUGGGAAGCCUUUGAGGACCAUUUAUUUUUACCUUUUCCCAUGUGAAUUAAAAGUCUUUGGUCUACAGUGAGGACAGAAGAAAUUACUGUUGCCAUUUGCACGUGAGUGCUUGCUCCUUACAUGACAGCACCAAGAGCUCAGCCAUGAUUUUCAGAUCUGUUAUUAUUCAAUUACAUUGCAGAUAACUUAGGCAGAGGGAGAGGUUCAACCCCACAUCACAUAAAGUUUGUCUUGGUAACAGUGUCCUUGACACAGUGCUGGAUUUUGUUAUUUUAGGCAUAAAGCCCCCCAUCAUUACUUGAAAUAAUUUCAGAAUAAUUUCU